GAAGAAUUCACAUUUGUGAAAGAGCUCAAUCUUGACGUACAAAAUGUCAUUGCCCCUCCUAAACCAAAAUCUUCACUGGUUCGGGAGAAAGCAUCUUCUUUGAAUGACCAUGAUACUGGAAAAUCAUCUGCUGAUGCUGGCACUGAUGCAAAGUCAGAGAAGUUGCCAAGCGCUGGUAAAACCAGAGUGAUGAGUGAUGUGGAGACUACCCAUACAGCA
rnacentral:misc_RNA from 1 species